GACGAACGCUGGCGGCGUGCCUAAUACAUGCAAGUUGAGCGAUGAAGAUUGGUGCUUGCACCAAUUUGAAGAGCAGCGCACGGGUGAGUAACGCGUGGGGAAUCUGCCUUUGAGCGGGGGACAACAUUUGGAAACGAAUGCUAAUACCGCAUAACAACUUUAAACAUAAGUUUUAAGUUUGAAAGAUGCAAUUGCAUCACUCAAAGAUGAUCCCGCGUUGUAUUAGCUAGUUGGUGAGGUAAAGGCUCACCAAGGCGAUGAUACAUAGCCGACCUGAGAGGGUGAUCGGCCACAUUGGGACUGAGACACGGCCCAAACUCCUACGGGAGGCAGCAGUAGGGAAUCUUCGGCAAUGGACGAAAGUCUGACCGAGCAACGCCGCGUGAGUGAAGAAGGGUUUCGGAUCGUAAAACUCUGUUGGUAGAGAAGAACGUUGGUGAGAGUGGAAAGCUCAUCAAGUGACGGUAACUACCCAGAAAGGGACGGCUAACUACGUG
rnacentral:rRNA from 1 species